GCCCGGGUGGCUCAGUCGGUCAAGUGUUUGACUUUAGCUCAGGUCGUGAUCUCACGGUUCGUGAGUUCGAGCCCCGCCUUGGGCU
rnacentral:tRNA from 1 species